rnacentral:rRNA from 1 species
AACGAACGCUGGCGGCAUGCCUAACACAUGCAAGUCGAACGAGACCUUCGGGUCUAGUGGCGCACGGGUGCGUAACGCGUGGGAACCUGCCCUUAGGUUCGGAAUAACUCCCCGAAAGGGGUGCUAAUACCGGAUAAUGUCUUCGGACCAAAGAUUUAUCGCCUUUGGAUGGGCCCGCGUUGGAUUAGCUAGUUGGUAGUGUAAAAGCCUACCAAGGCCACGAUCCAUAGCUGGUCUGAGAGGUUGAUCAGCCACACUGGGACUGAGACACGGCCCAGACUCCUACGGGAGGCAGCAGUGGGGAAUAUUGGAGGAUGGGCGAAAGCCUGAUCCAGCAAUGCCGCGUGAGUGAUGAAGGCCUUAGGGUUGUAAAGCUCUUUUACCCGGGAUGAUAAUGACAGUACCGGGAGAAUAAGCUCCGGCUAACUACGUG